UUCCUUUCUUUCCAAAUGGGGGAAGAAGGGAGGACAUCCUCUUUAUUGUAUCGUUUUGUUAGGCUUUUUGGCUCUGGGAAGCUAAAACUAGAAUACACCUUUUAGGACUGAAACUGGUUCAGUUCAGGUCUUGUUAACUGAACUUUUCUAUUUCCAGGUGAACUGAAGUGCAAGUUGGAAGAAAGUCAUCCUCACUUGUAAGACAUGAAGCGAAUGUACUGAGGGUCCUCUUCUGUUGCUGUAAUUGACGUGGACUGGAAGACUGGCAGAAUGUGACUUCAAGUGCAAACGGCUUGUUUUGCUUUGAGUGAUACCAUCAGGGGGAUCUUGAAGACUCAGAUAUGACUGACUUGUUUCCACAAUAGGCAGGUCACCAGGAACAAAGACAAAUGACUGAGGAAGCUUGUUUGGCUUGUUACUUACUGCAUCAACGCACACUGAUCUGCCAC